rnacentral:rRNA from 1 species
UUGAUCCUGCCGGACCUGACUGCUAUCGGAGUGAGACUAAGCCAUGCGAGUCAACCCGAAAGGGUGGCGGACGGCUCAGUAACACGUAGUCAACCUGCCCUAGGGACGUGGAAAACGUCGGGAAACUGACGAUAAACCGCGAUAGGUCAUCGCUUCUGGAAUGGGCAAUGGCUCAAACCUACAUGGCCCUAGGAUGGGACUGCGGCCGAUCAGGUUGUUGGUGAGGUAAUGGCUCACCAAGCCUAUAACCGGUACGGGCUCUGAGAGGAGGAGCCCGGAGAUGGACACUGAGACAAGGGUCCAGGUCCUAUGGGACGCAGCAGGCGCGAAACCUUCGCAAUAGGCGAAAGCCUGACGAGGUUACUCCGAGUGUUUCCUGCUAAAGGAAUCUUUUGUCAGCUCUAAAAAUGCUGAUGAAUAAGGGGUGGGCAAGCCUGGUGUCAGCCGCCGCGGUAAUACCAGCACCCCGAGUGGUCAGGAUGAUUAUUUGGCCUAAAGCAUCCGUAGCCGGCCCCGUAAGUCUUCCGUUAAAUCCACCUGCUCAACAGUUGGGCUGCGGGAGAUACUGUGAGGCUAGGAGGCGGGAGAGGCGAGGGGUAUUCCUUGGGUAGGGGUAAAAUCCUCUGAUCCAUGGAGGACCACCAGUGGCGAAGGCGUCUCGCCAGAACGCGCUCGACGGUGAGGGAUGAAAGCUGGGGGAGCAAACCGGAUUAGAUACCCGGGGUAGUCCCAGCUGUAAACGAUGUAGGCUCGGUGAUGGGGUUGGGUUCGACCCAACCCAGUGCCGCAGGGAAGCCGUUAAGCCUACCGCCUGGGGAGUACGGUCGCAAGACUGAAACUUAAAGGAAUUGGCGGGGGAGCGCCACAAGGGGUGAAGCCUGCGGUUCAAUUGGAGUCAACGCCGGGAACCUUACCAGGGGCGACAGCAGUGUGAAGGUCAAGUCGAAGACUUUACCAGACGAGCUGAGAGGAGGUGCAUGGCCGUCGCCAGCUCGUGCCGUGAGGUGUCCUGUUAAGUCAGGUAACGAGCGAGACCCCUACCCCUAGUUGCUACUAUUAUUCUCAGGAAUAGCAGGGCGAAUUAGGGGGACUGCCGUUGUUAAAACGGAGGAAGGAGGGGGCUACGGCAGGUCAGUAUGCCCCGAAACCCCUGGGCCACACGCGGGCUGCAAUGAUAGGGACAAUGGGCUCCGACUUCGAAAGAAGGAGGCAACCCCCAAACCCUAUCUCAGUUAUGACUGAGGGCUGAAACUCGCCCUCACGAAUAUGGAAUCCCUAGUAAUCGCGUGUCAACAUCGCGCGGUGAAUACGUCCCUGCUCCUUGCACACACCGC